CCCUAUUAUUUAAAAUAAAAUUUUUAGUAGUAUAGAUUGAAAUUUAAUGAUUUUGGCGGUUUUUAUUUAUUAGAGGAGCUUGUUUUAUAGUAGAAUUUAUUCUUUAUAUUUAAUUUAAAUUAUGUUAAUUCAUCUCCGUUAUUAAAUUAAAAAUUUUAAAAAAUAAUUUUUAAAUCUCAGGUCAAGAUGUUGUAUAUUUAAAAUUGGAAAUUAGCUACAAUUAGGUUUAUAGAUUGGAUUUUUAUAUUUAAAUAUGAAAAGAAAUUGAAUUUAACUGUAAUAUUUAAUUAGAAUAUUAAUAUGGAAACUAAUAUUUAAAUGUA
rnacentral:rRNA from 1 species